CCUACGGGUGGCAGCAGUGGGGAAUAUUGCACAAUGGGCGAAAGCCUGACGCAGCGACGCCGCGUGGGUGAUGGAGGUCUUCGGAUCGUAAACCUCUAUCAGCAGGGAAGAACAGUCACUGUGCUAAUCAGCAGUGCAUUGACGGUACCUGCAAAGGAAGCACCGGCUAACUCGGUGCCAGCAGCCGCGGUAAGACGGAGGGUGCGAGCGUUAAUCGGAUUUACUGGGCGUAAAGCGCUCGUAGGCGGUACGGCAAGUCAAGGGUGAAAUCCCCGGGCUCAACGUGGGAACUGCAUUUGAAACGGGCAAACUGGAGUGUGUGAGAGGAUAGUGGAAUUCCAGGUGUAGGAGUGAAAUGCGUAGAUAUUUGGAGGAACAUCAGUGGCGAAGGCGACCAACUGG
rnacentral:rRNA from 1 species